AGUGAACGCUGGCGGCAUGCCUAAUACAUGCAAGUCGAACAGCCGUACAGUAAGCUUUCGCCUCUGAGGGUAGCGGCUGACGGACGGGUAACGCAUGGAUAACCUACCAAUUAGACUGGGAGAACUUCGUGAAACCACUGCUAAUACUAGAUCAUACUUUCAACGGCUUGAUUCAGGAGUUAAAGACACUCUUCCUGUCACUUAGAGACGGAGCCACGCUGCAUUAUCUAGUUGGUAAGGUAACGGCUUACCAAGGCAACGACCCAUAGCCGAGCUGAUAGGGUGAUCGGCCACACUGGAACUGAGACACGGUCCAGACUCCUACGGGAGGCAGCAGUAGGGAAUCUUGCACAAUGGUCACAAGCCUUACGCACCCAUGCCCCGUGAGUGAUGAAGGCCUUCGGAUCGUAAAACCCUGUUAUUAGGGAAGAAAAUCUGUAUAAGUAAAUGUCGCCAUUCUAACGGUACCCAAUCAGAAAGCACCGGCUAACUUCGUG
rnacentral:rRNA from 1 species